rnacentral:rRNA from 1 species
UACGUAGGGUGCGAGCGUUGUCCGGAAUUAUUGGGCGUAAAGAGCUCGUAGGCGGUUUGUCGCGUCUGCCGUGAAAGUCCGGGGCUCAACUCCGGAUCUGCGGUGGGUACGGGCAGGCUAGAGUUCGGCAGGGGAGACUGGAAUUCCUGGUGUAGCGGUGAAGUGCGCAGAUAUCAGGAGGAACACCGGUGGCGAAGGCGGGUCUCUGGGCCGAUACUGACACUGAGGAGCGAAAGCGUGGGGAGCGAACAGG